ACGCUCGACACCUACGGGAGGCAGCAGUCGGGAAUAUUGCGCAAUGGAGGAAACUCUGACGCAGUGACGCCGCGUGCAGGAAGAAGGUUUUCGGAUUGUAAACUGCUUUAGACAGGGAAGAAAGAAAUGACAGUACCUGUAGAAUAAGCUCCGGCUAACUACGUGCCAGUAGCCGCGGUAAUCUGAGGCGGGCUGGCAAGGC
rnacentral:rRNA from 1 species